ensembl:lncRNA
GCUCUAUUCCCGCGGGAUGUCGGGCUGACGUGGGGCGGAGCCGGCCUGGGCUUGGCAUCCCCUGGCGUGGCCCACCGGUCUGUCACGAAAGCUGUUGCGACAUGCAGGCAGCGGCCGGUUAAACUCUUGUCAGGUCGGGAGUGUUGUUCCCUGUGGGCCAUGUGCGGGCACACUCCUGAGGGCUCGGUGCUCCUCAGGCCCCAGAGUCACCCAGUAAACCCCCCAGUUCUUGAGUGAAUGAGUUGGGAGACCUGCUGACGUUAUACCCUGAGUCUAGCCGAGAACUGAGGCCGGGAAGAGAGCUGUCGACGUCGGGGCGGGAAGAUUCAGAGACAAUGACAGCUGGGGAGGCUGGGCAGGAGGCAGCUGCUGCCCAAACACAGCAGGAAAACAGGUGGGCUGGAGUCUCAGAGGGACGCUUAUGGUUAAAGAACAAUGUCAGCAGCCCCCAGCCUUGAGCAUCACCUGGGCCGUGAGGAUACACAGGUGGUGCUUUGCUAUGGCUUCAGGCUGGGUUGAUGAACACAGGCUUUCCGAACUCCGUCUGCCCGGCUUCAGUAACCCUUCACUGGAUCGUGUUUGCACAAGUUUCUCCAGCGUUUCCAGAUAGAUCACUCUGGGAGAAGCCAGCUGCCACAUCAUGAAGACACCCAUGGAUCCCAGGAAAGGGUCCAUGUGAGAAGACACAGAGGCCUCCCACCAACAGACAGCAUCAACUUGCCAGCCAUCAAAUGAGAUGGAGAAAUGAUCUCAACCCAUUUUUUUGGCCUCCUGACUGGAAACCUCAGAACUCGGCCCUGUAAGCUGUUAAUCAAAUAAGCACUGCAGGCUUUUGUAAAGAAUCAUGCUUUACAAAUGCUUGAAGGCAGUAUUGGGAUUAAAAUGUAGGUUUCUUUUCUGCUUUUUAAAUUGUAUUUAUUUAUUUUUGGGUGCACUGGGUCUUCGUUGCUGUGCAUAGGCUUUCUCUAGUUGCGGUGAGUGGGGGUUAAUCUCUAGUUAUGGUAAGCAGGCUUCUCACUGAGAUGGCUUCUGUUGUUGCAGAGCAUGGGCUCUAGAGCCUGAGGGCUCAGUAACUGUGGCACACAGGCUCAGUUGUCUUGCGGCAUGUGGAAACUUCCCAGACCAGGGUCAAAGCCCUGUCCCCUGUACUGGUAGGCAGACUCUUAACCACUGGACCACCAGGGAAGUCC